GACGAACGCUGGCGGCGUGCUUAACACAUGCAAGUCGAACGGAAAGGCCCUGCGUUUGUGGGGUGCUCGAUUGGCGAACGGGGGAGUAACACGUGAGUAACCUGCCCUUGACUUAGGGAGAACAUCAGGAGACAGGGGCUAAUACCGCAGAGGAUCUCCUGCUGCACGGUGGGGGUUGGAAAGAGUCGGCUUUUGGGGAUGGACUAGCGGCGUAUCAGCUGGUUGAUAGGGUAGUGGGUGACCAAGGCUUUGACGGGUAGCCGACCGGAGAGGGUGAUCGGCCACAUUGGAACUGGGACACGCUCCAGACUCCUACGGGAGGCAGCAGUAGCGAAUCUGCCGCAACAGGCGGAAGCCUUACGGAGCAACGCCACGUGAGUUAUGAAAGUCUUCGGUGCGUGAUGCUGUGCUUUGAGGUAAGAACCAAUUUGUAAUGUGCCAUGCACUUCGUGACGGUACUGGGUCAGAAAGCCACGGCUAACUACGUG
rnacentral:rRNA from 1 species